rnacentral:ncRNA from 1 species
AUUUAGAAAAGGCAAACUUACUGAAAAGUAAGGACGCAAAGUCACGAGCCUAAAGGUGUUUACCAAAGGUGGUUGGGCUGCCGAA